GUCAUGGAAGGCAGAGCUAGGGUUGAGGCUCUGAUGUUGCUGAUUCCCACAUGAGGAGGAACCAAGGUGACUGAAGAUUUACCUGAUUGAUUUUCGGAUUGCCCCUGCAUAAGGAAGCAGAGGAGGACAGGUGGUGGCAGAGUUCCUGAUAAUGAAACAACAGGUCCUCCCUUGGGCUCAGUGGCCUCCUUCAUCAUGUUACUGGCUGCAGUGGACUUAGGAAUGCUGUGAACACAGGGGAUAGAGAAUGACUCAGAGCAGAAAUCUCUAGGCCAGUGGGGAGCAGGCGUUUCAUCAGGUCCAGAUGCAAAUGUUCAGUUGUCUCCUUGGCUCCUACCUGCAAUGGCAUGGGGAUGUCUUUUCCUUGGGAACGCACCUCUAGGCUCAUGGAGAGAAGAGCUGCACAGGUGUAGGGUGGACAGAGAUAACUGGAGCAACCAAGUGAAUUGCUAAGGUCUCCUGAUAAGGAGAGUAUCUGAUUGAUUGAAGAUGAUGAAGGAGGGUUUUGGGAUGCAGAAUUUUCUAAAUCCACCUGGAAGUCCGCGAACCUCUCCCUCCAGCCACAAGGCCCUGCCCCACACCCUGCAGCAACCAAUCUGGAAAACCAGAUUCCAACCCCUGCAACAAUAGGCCCCAAGGGUCAGGACUUGGUCAGUGACUCACAGCUGCGUCAUUUUCAGUCUUUUCCAUGUAGAACCAAAUGCAGGGAAAGCCAAAUAUGUUCCCGUAAGUAAUCACUUAGGGCGCCCCUCUUCCUAACAGCUUGUUCCCAGCCUCCCACAUCACAAGCUCUGAGCAGGACAUGCUUUCCUUUUUUUGCCACCAGAAAGUGUCCCCAGUCUUAUGUGUGCCCUGAGUCUCAGCCUGAUGUGAGUGGUGGUGGCUGACUCCCGUGCUCUAUAGAUAAGUUGUGAGUAAAUAGUGUCUGUUCUCAUUUGGGGGGGGGUGUCGUUUUUCAUAUCUACAGAGCUUAGUAUGGCAGGAAGCAAAUAAAACUCAUGAUAAUGUUUCCAUUGUUAUUUUAAAAAUCACAUUUAUUAAUCACCAUUUUUAAACUUGAGACAUAAUACAAAUACCAUAAAAUUCACCCUUUGAAAAGUGUAGAAUUUAGUACUUUAUAAUCUAUUUACAAAAUUGUGCAACCAUCAGCACUAAAACCAGAACAUUUCGUCACCUCAAAAAGAAACCCCAUCCCCAUUAGUCUCUUCUAUUCCACCUAUGCUCAGGCAGUGGCCACCGCAAAUCUGCUUUCUGUCUCUACGGAUAUGCCUAUUCUCAAUAUUUCAUGUGACUGGAAUCAUACAAUAUGUGCUCUUUAUAUCUGGCUUCUUAUACUGAAUAUCACGCAUAUGAGGCUCAUGUUUUAGAAUGUAUCAGUAAUGUACUCCUUCGUUUGGCCUAAGAAUUUUUCCUUUUAAGCCAUAAGAUUUUACGUACAUUCACAUGCCACAAGGGUUUUUUGUUUUUUGGGUUUUUUUGUAAAAAAUAUAUUUUUAAAUUUAACCAUUUAAAGUCUACAGUUGACUAAUAUUAAGUACCGCUUCCCUGCCUGACCCCAACUUACCCCACUCACCUGGAGCUGCCAGUAGGCCCAGAGGACACAAGCCCAGCCAUGCUGCCCUUCCUUGGAACCCCAACGCCAUCCAAACUGACCAUGACCCCACUAUUAGCACCCUUCAUUGUAGCAAAAAGAACUCCAGACACUGAGAGACUCUAGUGAAGAGGGCAGCUGUCCCCAGGCAAGUUGUUGUGCUUGGGACAAGGAAGCAGUGCCCUGGGACCUGCAGUCACCCAGGGGCCCCAUGAGGUACAGUGCUGGUAUCCUGAGGGCGUAUUCUGCUGAGGUCCCUGCCAGGCCCCUAUAGAGGAGAACCAGUGAACACUUGGGGACAUCUCUUGUCAUUCUUUUCUUCCUUCCUUCCUUUCUUUCUCUUUUUCCCUUUCCACCCGGAAGAGGUAAAGCUUGACAAGAAAAAAUAAAUGACUUUCUAGACCAUCCAUAUUUCAGGGCUGCCUCAUGGACCUGUCCUUGUUUUCUCAACAAAAACCCUCUAAGGAACUAAGAUGUGCUACGUGUUCCAUGCACACUCACCUGUGUGCCUGCCCCGCACAGUCCUCCAUCUUCCCUUCUCUCUUCCAACACUUCACUCCCUUGUGGGGGCUUAUUCAAGGGCAAAGAUUGCUGUGAGUUCCAGCAUGAUGUCUGCCUCACCCCCUUCAUGACUGUCUUGUUGACUCAAUAGCCUGUGUUCUGGCUGCACGGGAACCCUCGUCUGUCCUCUGCUCAGGGACACUGCUCAUCUUUGGCAACACCCACCUGUAUUCCUCACUGUUCAGGCCCUGGGAAAUCGGCUGUCCUGACCUGGGACAGCUUUAAACAUAAGAAAUUGCUACCUUCCACUGCUGGGGUCAGAAGGCUGGGUGUGUGCUCCAAGGCUCUCGGAGGUGUUUUGCAUCCUCCCAGAAUCUCCUCUCACCUCCGUGAGAAACUCUACUACCAAGACACUUCCAACCAACGCUCUCCAUUAGGUGCUGAGCUGUCAAUAUUUCCAGCCCAGAAAGACCACAGCCUGUGCUUUGCAACAGGGAAAUCCCUCCCCUCUACCUCCAGUCCAUCCAAGUCGCCCCCCGUUCCUCAGCUCGCACAGCCCACAGACGGUUUCUGAGUCUGUUCAGCAGGCGAGGUCCCAUAGGUGUCAGGUCCUGAGUCUCUUCCAGCCACCAGGUUACACCCAACCCUAUAGGAUGAGUCCACAGUCUUCUGGGAGUGCAGGGGCCCCUCCCAUGUGCCUCUUCUGACACUGUUGUUGGAUCUCCUUCCUCCUUAAAUCAGGGCAAGGAGCUUGGUUUCUCUGGGCCUGUGAGUGGGGAAGGGUAGGAGGGGACAAGUGGCCUAGAGAGUCCAGUCCAUUCUGCAUCCUGUGGGCCCAUGACCCCGGUGGGUGGAAGCAGAGGGAGUAAUGAGACAGAGAGGCUCUUGGCCUGCUUAGUGGCUAGGGAUUUAGGACACAUUCAAGUGCAGGCUGAACCUACUGGAGAAUGUUGGUCAACAAACAGUUUCUGCAUGUGUAGGAGCUGAACGAGUUCACCAAGCUCUCUCAAAACUAACAUCCAUUUAUAAACACUCUUCUGGCAACAGGGGAAGGGCAGAUGAUGUUCCAGGAAACUCCUCCCUAAACUCCGGGAACAUUCUGACAGGGUCUUUGAAUAUGCAACAAAUGUCUGCUUUGGUUAAGAAGACAUUGGAUGAUUUUAAGGUAUAUUUUGGAAAUGUAGAAAACUACAGUACUUCAAAAUUAAAAUCCUAUUUUAUGAUUUAGAA